rnacentral:rRNA from 1 species
UGCGUAGGCGGGUCUUUAAGUCAGGGGUGAAAUCCUGGAGCUCAACUCCAGAACUGCCUUUGAUACUGAGGAUCUUGAGUUCGGGAGAGGUGAGUGGAACUGCGAGUGUAGAGGUGAAAUUCGUAGAUAUUCGCAAGAACACCAGUGGCGAAGGCGGCUCACUGGCCCGAUACUGACGCUGAGGCACGAAAGCGUGGGAGCAAACAGGAUUAGAUACCCUGGUAGUCCACGCCGUAAACGAUGAAUGCCAGCCGUUAGUGGGUUUACUCACUAGUGGCGCAGCUAACGCUUUAAGCAUUCCGCCUGGGGAGUACGGUCGCAAGAUUAAA